GAAGGGGGCUAGCGUUGUUCGGAAUCACUGGGCGUAAAGCGUAUGUAGGCGGAUCGUUAAGUCGGGGGUGAAAUCCCGAGGCUCAACCUCGGAACUGCCUUCGAUACUGGCGACCUUCGAGUCCGGGAGAGGUGAGUGGAACUCCGAGUGUAGAGGUGAAAUUCGUAGAUAUUCGGAAGAACACCAGUGGCGAAGGCGGCUCACUGGCCCGGUACUGACGCUGAUAUACGAAAGCGUGGGGAGCAAACAGGAUUAGAUACCCUGGUAGUCCACGCCGUAAACCAUGAAUGCUAGCCGUCGGUGGGCAUGCCCUUCGGUGGCGCAGCUAACGCAAUAAGCAUUCCGCCUGGGGAGUACGAUCGCAAGAUUA
rnacentral:rRNA from 1 species